GAAAUUUAGUUGCUCCAGCUGUACAUAUGUAAACCCAGUAUAAAUAAGUCUAGGGGGGAGUUCACCAAUUUCUGACAUCUUUCAGCAGUGUGGAGACGGCUCAGGAAACACAUGCCUUCCAAGGGGCUAAAACCUUGAUAAGACAAGGAGUCCAGGGACAAAUGACUGAACAAUAUGGACCUCUGCUCAGUGUACUUCUAGUCUCAGAUAUAUAGUAUCUGGCGCCCCAGGGUCUGAUGGGUAUUUCCAUCACAGAGAGAGGAGGAUAAAAAGAAAACGCUCGACAUGGAAACUCCCAGCAAAUCCUGGAAAUGAAACAAAUAACCCGCAGCCAGAACAGGAAAUUAUCCAGCAGGGAGAGUAACAAAGCAGCCUCCUCCAAUGAAGAACGAAUAGGAGGUCAUACCAUAGACAUCAGUGGAGGCUGCGGAAGGAAGAACGGCUCAUAAUAAUGGCUGGAACGGAGCAAAUGGAAUGGCACCAAACCAUGUGUUUAAUGUAUUUGAUACCAUUCCACUCAUUCCACUCCAGCCAUUACCACGAGCGUGUCCUCCCCAAUUAAGAUGCCACCAACCUCCUGUGAUAGACAUAGGCGGAGUUCCCUUCAGGACUUAGUCACCGCAUUGACACUCAUUGGGAGGUGUUCUGGAUUUCAGUGGUGCGUUUGUUGGAUCACUUGUCAAGUUAAAAUAACUUAGGUGGUAAGGGAAAGUUGGAAAUGUGGGAUCAAUAGGUUUUCUCAAUAGGAUCAAAAAGCAGGGAUGUGUAUCUAUCCAAGCCCCUAUGAAUUCCAUCUGAAUUACUGUAUCGCUCCAAGAGUGUCCAAGAGUGUGACUCAUCUUGGAAUUGGUUGACCUUUAGAGCAGGGUUCCCCAACUGGUGGCUCACAAUAAUGGUUGGAAAGGAGCGAAUGGAAUUAAGGUGCCACCAACCUCCUGUGAUACAGGCAUGCAUUUCAAUUGCCUUGAAUAAACCUGUCUAUGUAAAAAGACAAUAUUUAUUCAUUAAUGUGUUUGCAACACUACUGUUAUUUAAUAUACUACUUACUAUUUACUUUCAUCCUUUCUUACAUUUGGACAGCUGAAGCAAGCACACAACUUUUCUUCAGAGCAGAGGAAAAGAAAAGGCCUAUCUCAAGGAGACAGACUAGCCAUAUCUCCAUUAGACACACAGCAUCUGGAAGUGAGCCCCUCUGGAAAACCACCUCUUUGAGGAAGUCCCAAAUGGCACCCUGUUGCCUAUAUAGUGCACUAAUUUUGACCAAGACUCAUUACAAGAAGUGCACUAUAAAGGGAUAGGGUUUCUUUUGGACAGAGGUGUAAAGUAACUAAUUACAGCUACUCUUGUUACUGUAAUUGACUAGCUUUUCCGAGUACUUAUACUUUGAGUAUUUUUGAAAGUCAGUAAUUUUACUUAUACUUGAGGAAAAUUGAAUUAUAGUAACAGUACUUCUAGUUGAGUAGGAUAUUUCACUGCUCUUAAAAGAUACAUUUUGUGAGUGAGGGACUGAGUGAGUGAAGGAAAGAGUGUGAAUGGGGGAGUGAGUGAAUAUCAGCCGGUCCCCUGGACAAGUAACAAGUAACAGAGGGGGGAAUGAGGGAUUGAAUAAGUGAAAGAAUUAGACAUGUUUAUUUAUGGAGUCUGUAUGUAGAAGUACUGUAUAUAGAAGUCUGGCAACUUUGUUUAUUAACUUUAUUUUGUAUAUAUUUUUUUACCAAUACAUCUUCAUUUACUUGAAUGUUUAAGUUGACAAAUGUUAAUAGUAUAUUUUUGACAAAUCCUUCGUUUUCACAUGUAGAUGUGCCUUGCUGCAACUCAUAAAAUAAAUAAAAC
rnacentral:lncRNA from 1 species